rnacentral:rRNA from 1 species
UACGAGGGGGCAAGCGUUGUUCGGAAUUAUUGGGCGUAAAGGGCGCGUAGGCGGUAGCGGUAAGUCUGUUGUGAAAUCCUCCGGGACUCAACUCGGAGUCUGCUCAGAAACUGCCGUGCUCGAGUGUGGGAGAGGUGAGUGGAAUUCCCGGUGUAGCGGUGAAAUGCGUAGAUAUCGGGAGACACCUGCGGCGAAAGCGGAG